AUUUAUUCAUUGAGGGACAGAAACAAUUAUAUUUUAAGUAAUAAAAUUAGAAGGUUAACAGCAGUGUAUCCAAAAUUAUAAUUGAUGGUGUCAACAUUAUACACAGUAUGCACAGAAUGCUGUGUAGAAAUGAUGUGUAAAUUACUUGUCAGCAUUUCAUGCAAGUGUAAUUAUUUUCUAAGGCCCCUUCUAGCUAUGAUUUUUUGGAACUGUGUGAAUGUAGUAUAUUCAUUAAUAAAGUUUAAUGCAUUAAGCAUUAAUUUAAAAUUUGAGAACAAUGUUAGGCAGAUAAAUUAUUUGCCACAUGCUGUAAUGAUCAUGUUUUGAAUUUAUUUCAUUAUGCAGUAUUUGAAAAAUGUCUACAUAAAGGAAAGGAAAUGAGUAUAAUUGAGUCAAUAUAUUUUUAAAGCAAUUUUUAUAAUUUAGCAGACAUUGCAUCUUAAUAUAAUUCACUAUUAAAAUUGUGUCCUUGUGGAAAAAUCGAUAUCAUUUUCUAUUUCUUUUGAUGAUCAUGUAAAAUAGAUUCCUUUCCUUUGUUAAAUGUUCUGUUUAUUUUUGAUACAUUAUUCCUUGCACCUGUAGAAUCUACCUGUUACUCUUUAAUCUUUUUCUCUACCCCAGAAUCCUUCCACCCUAUCACACACAGAAAAUGUUUCAAUGUUUCUUAAAAUUCAUAGUGUCUUUAUGAUUUCUAAGAAUAGACACAGACACAGAAUAUAUUUCCUCAUUUUCUGGGAACUUUCUGCAAGUCUUUGUUAUUGAUAGAAUUCACUGAAGUUUCUUCCUAAAUGGGUCUUUUCCUUUCCCCUUUCUUUCCCUUUGAUCACUCCCCGGCCUUCUCUCAAUGGCCUCUUCUUACCUUGCUUUGGCCUUCCUCCUCAUUCUCCCUUAGUCACUCCCUCCUUGUCUAUCUGUAUAACCAGUUUGUUUCUUUUAGGUGGAAAGUAUGAAAUGAAAUCAUACAGCUGUGACCAGAAUUGUAUUUUCUCGAGUAGAUUUCUGAGAAUUGUGAAUGAAGCGGGCCCAUUUUCAGUUACCUGCUUUAUUGCUCCAUGCAGAAAACCUAAAACUGUUGUGUUGUAUGUUAUUGUACUUUAACUUGUUGCUUAAUUUCUACAUGUUUAUUUUCAGUAAUGGCUGAAAGUGUUAAUUAUUCCAUAUUUUAGCACAAUGUGCUGCAUAUACUUCCCAAUAAGCAAAUAAGGUUACAUGUGUACAGAAUUUCACUUUUGAUUAAAUAUUGCCUGGGUUUCAAGUCCCUCCCCCCAUUUGAAAUGCUUCCUUUUUAAUGUUGAAACUGAAAAUAAACAGUUACUGAAUGAUUUUGAAUUUACCUCAUCUUAGAGCUCAGUUUUAAUUUAUUUGGCCUGUUUUUAAUAUGAGUCACUAAAAAUAAAGUGGAGCACUGUCUUAUGCAGUGCCUAAGAAUUGUUUUAUAUAGUAUGUGUACAACAUUAAAACAUGUUCGACAAAGAAAAAUAUACCAGCGCUCACUUGUCCCUUGCCAUUUUUUUCUUGUAAUUAGGACAUUUUGGGGGUAGAAGAGAAAAAAAUUAAUUGUGUUUUAAUUUUACAGCUACCGGAGCUUUGUAUUGCUAAACUUACAUCUGGAAACGUUUCACGUGACAUUUUUAAGAGAAUUUUUUAUCUACUGAAUUCUACCAGUGUAACCAUUUUUUCUAAAUAAACAAUAGUUUUCUCAAAUGACU
rnacentral:lncRNA from 1 species